rnacentral:rRNA from 1 species
AUUGAACGCUGGCGGCAGGCCUAACACAUGCAAGUCGAGCGGAUGAAGGGAGCUUGCUCCUGGAUUCAGCGGCGGACGGGUGAGUAAUGCCUAGGAAUCUGCCUGGUAGUGGGGGAUAACGUCCGGAAACGGGCGCUAAUACCGCAUACGUCCUGAGGGAGAAAGUGGGGGAUCUUCGGACCUCAGGCUAUCAGAUGAGCCUAGGUCGGAUUAGCUAGUUGGUGGGGUAAAGGCCUACCAAGGCGACGAUCCGUAACUGGUCUGAGAGGAUGACCAGUCACACUGGAACUGAGACACGGUCCAGACUCCUACGGGAGGCAGCAGUGGGGAAUAUUGGACAAAGGUCGAAAGCCUGAUCCAGCCAUGCCGCGUGUGUGAAGAAGGUCUUCGGAUUGUAAAGCACUUUAAGUUGGGAGGAAGGGCAGUAAGUUAAUACCUUGCUGUUUUGACGUUACCAACAGAAUAAGCACCGGCUAACUUCGUG